GACGAACGCUGGCGGCGUGCCUAAUACAUGCAAGUAGAACGCACAGUUUAUACCGUAGCUUGCUACACCAUAGACUGUGAGUUGCGAACGGGUGAGUAACGCGUCGGUAACCUGCCUGGUAGCGUGGGAUAACUAUUGGAAACGAUAGCUAAUACCGCAUAAUAUUUAUUAUUGCAUGAUAAUUAAUUGAAAGGUGCAAUUGCACCACUACCAGAUGGACCUGCGUUGUAUUAGCUAGUAGGUGAGGUAACGGCUCACCUAGGCGACGAUACAUAGCCGACAUGGGAGGGUGAGAGGCCACACUGGGACUGAGACACGGCCCAGACGGCUACGGGAGGCAGCAGAAGGGAAUCUUCGGGAAUGGACGAAAGUAUGACCGAGCAACGCCGCGAGAGUGAAGAAGGUUUUCGGAUCGUAAAGCUCUGUUGUAAGAGAAGAACGGGUGUGAGGAUGGAAAGGUCACGCUGUGACGGUAAAUUACCAGAAAGGGACGGCUAACUAAGUG
rnacentral:rRNA from 1 species